rnacentral:rRNA from 1 species
ACGAACGCUGGCGGCGUGCCUAAUACAUGCAAGUCGAACGAAACUUUCUUACACCGAAUGCUUGCAUUCACCGUAAGAAGUUGAGUGGCGGACGGGUGAGUAACACGUGGGUAACCUGCCUAAAAGAAGGGGAUAACACUUGGAAACAGGUGCUAAUACCGUAUAUCUCUAAGGAUCGCAUGAUCCUUAGAUGAAAGAUGGUUCUGCUAUCGCUUUUAGAUGGACCCGCGGCGUAUUAACUAGUUGGUGGGGUAACGGCCUACCAAGGUGAUGAUACGUAGCCGAACUGAGAGGUUGAUCGGCCACAUUGGGACUGAGACACGGCCCAAACUCCUACGGGAGGCAGCAGUAGGGAAUCUUCCACAAUGGACGCAAGUCUGAUGGAGCAACGCCGCGUGAGUGAAGAAGGUCUUCGGAUCGUAAAACUCUGUUGUUAGAGAAGAACACGAGUGAGAGUAACUGUUCAUUCGAUGACGGUAUCUAACCAGCAAGUCACGGCUAACUACGUGCCAGCAGCCGCGGUAAUACGUAGGUGGCAAGCGUUGUCCGGAUUUAUUGGGCGUAAAGGGAACGCAGGCGGUCUUUUAAGUCUGAUGUGAAAGCCUUCGGCUUAACCGGAGUAGUGCAUUGGAAACUGGAAGACUUGAGUGCAGAAGAGGAGAGUGGAACUCCAUGUGUAGCGGUGAAAUGCGUAGAUAUAUGGAAGAACACCAGUGGCGAAAGCGGCUCUCUGGUCUGUAACUGACGCUGAGGUUCGAAAGCGUGGGUAGCAAACAGGAUUAGAUACCCUGGUAGUCCACGCCGUAAACGAUGAAUGCUAGGUGUUGGAGGGUUUCCGCCCUUCAGUGCCGCAGCUAACGCAAUAAGCAUUCCGCCUGGGGAGUACGACCGCAAGGUUGAAACUCAAAGGAAUUGACGGGGGCCCGCACAAGCGGUGGAGCAUGUGGUUUAAUUCGAAGCAACGCGAAGAACCUUACCAGGUCUUGACAUCCUUUGACCACCUAAGAGAUUAGGCUUUCCCUUCGGGGACAAAGUGACAGGUGGUGCAUGGCUGUCGUCAGCUCGUGUCGUGAGAUGUUGGGUUAAGUCCCGCAACGAGCGCAACCCUUGUUGUCAGUUGCCAGCAUUAAGUUGGGCACUCUGGCGAGACUGCCGGUGACAAACCGGAGGAAGGUGGGGAUGACGUCAAAUCAUCAUGCCCCUUAUGACCUGGGCUACACACGUGCUACAAUGGACGGUACAACGAGUCGCGAGACCGCGAGGUUUAGCUAAUCUCUUAAAGCCGUUCUCAGUUCGGAUUGUAGGCUGCAACUCGCCUACAUGAAGUCGGAAUCGCUAGUAAUCGCGAAUCAGCAUGUCGCGGUGAAUACGUUCCCGGGCCUUGUACACACCGCCCGUCACACCAUGAGAGUUUGUAACACCCAAAGCCGGUGGGGUAACCGCAAGGAGCCAGCCGUCUAAGGUGGGACAGAUGAUUGGGGUG